rnacentral:pre_miRNA from 1 species
AACCUUCUGUAUCCGUACGGAGAUUUCGUCAGCGACCAACCCGUUGGAGCUGACGCAACUCCCUAAAUAAGUGAAGUG